rnacentral:rRNA from 1 species
CCUACGGGUGGCAGCAGUGAGGAAUAUUGGUCAAUGGACGAGAGUCUGAACCAGCCAAGUAGCGUGAAGGAUGACUGCCCUAUGGGUUGUAAACUUCUUUUAUAUGGGAAUAAAAUGUUCCACGUGUGGGAUUUUGUAUGUACCAUAUGAAUAAGGAUCGGCUAACUCCGUGCCAGCAGCCGCGGUAAUACGGAGGAUCCGAGCUUUAUCCGGAUUUAUUGGGUUUAAAGGGAGCGUAGGUGGAUUGUUAAGUCAGUUGUGAAAGUUUGCGGCUCAACCGUAAAAUUGCAGUUGAAACUGGCAGUCUUGAGUACAGUAGAGGUGGGCGGAAUUCGUGGUGUAGCGGUGAAAUGCUUAGAUAUCACGAAGAACUCCGAUUGCGAAGGCAGUUCACUGGACUGCAACUGACACUGAGGCUCGAAAGUGUGGGUAUCAAACAGGAUUAGAUACCCUUGUAGUC